UAGAGUUUGAUCCUGGCUCAGGAUGAACGCUGGCGGCGUGCCUAAUACAUGCAAGUCGAACGAGUUCUGAUUAUUGAAAGGUGCUUGCAUCUUGAUUUAAUUUUGAACGAGUGGCGGACGGGUGAGUAACACGUGGGUAACCUGCCCUUAAGUGGGGGAUAACAUUUGGAAACAGAUGCUAAUACCGCAUAAAUCCAAGAACCGCAUGGUUCUUGGCUGAAAGAUGGCGUAAGCUAUCGCUUUUGGAUGGACCCGCGGCGUAUUAGCUAGUUGGUGAGGUAACGGCUCACCAAGGCAAUGAUACGUAGCCGAACUGAGAGGUUGAUCGGCCACAUUGGGACUGAGACACGGCCCAAACUCCUACGGGAGGCAGCAGUAGGGAAUCUUCCACAAUGGACGCAAGUCUGAUGGAGCAACGCCGCGUGAGGUGAAGAAGGCUUUCGGGUCGUAAAACUCUGUUGUUGGAGAAGAAUGGUCGGCAGAGUAACUGUUGUCGGCGUGACGGUAUCCAACCAGAAAGCCACGGCUAACUACGUGCCAGCAGCCGCGGUAAUACGUAGGUGGCAAGCGUUAUCCGGAUUUAUUGGGCGUAAAGCGAGCGCAGGCGGUUUUUUAAGUCUGAUGUGAAAGCCCUCGGCCUUAACCGAGGAAGUGCAUCGGAAACUGGGAAACUUGAGUGCAGAAGAGGACAGUGGAACUCCAUGUGUAGCGGUGAAAUGCGUAGAUAUAUGGAAGAACACCAGUGGCGAAGGCGGCUGUCUGGUCUGUAACUGACGCUGAGGCUCGAAAGCAUGGGUAGCGAACAGGAUUAGAUACCCUGGUAGUCCAUGCCGUAAACGAUGAAUGCUAGGUGUUGGAGGGUUUCCGCCCUUCAGUGCCGCAGCUAACGCAUUAAGCAUUCCGCCUGGGGAGUACGACCGCAAGGUUGAAACUCAAAGGAAUUGACGGGGGCCCGCACAAGCGGUGGAGCAUGUGGUUUAAUUCGAAGCAACGCGAAGAACCUUACCAGGUCUUGACAUCUUUUGAUCACCUGAGAGAUCAGGUUUCCCCUUCGGGGGCAAAAUGACAGGUGGUGCAUGGUUGUCGUCAGCUCGUGUCGUGAGAUGUUGGGUUAAGUCCCGCAACGAGCGCAACCCUUAUGACUAGUUGCCAGCAUUUAGUUGGGCACUCUAGUAAGACUGCCGGUGACAAACCGGAGGAAGGUGGGGAUGACGUCAAAUCAUCAUGCCCCUUAUGACCUGGGCUACACACGUGCUACAAUGGAUGGUACAACGAGUUGCGAGACCGCGAGGUCAAGCUAAUCUCUUAAAGCCAUUCUCAGUUCGGACUGUAGGCUGCAACUCGCCUACACGAAGUCGGAAUCGCUAGUAAUCGCGGAUCAGCACGCCGCGGUGAAUACGUUCCCGGGCCUUGUACACACCGCCCGUCACACCAUGAGAGUUUGUAACACCCGAAGCCGGUGGCGUAACCCUUUUAGGGAGCGAGCCGUCUAAGGUGAC
rnacentral:rRNA from 1 species